GAGUUGAACCUGGCUCAGGAUGAACGCUGGCGGCGUGCUUAACACAUGCAAGUCGAACGAAGCGAUUGGAAGGAAGUUUUCGGAUGGAAUUCUGAUUGACUGAGUGGCGGACGGGUGAGUAACGCGUGGGUAACCUGCCUCAUACAGGGGGAUAACAGUUAGAAAUGACUGCUAAUACCGCAUAAGCGCACAGGAUUGCAUGAUCCGGUGUGAAAAACUCCGGUGGUAUGAGAUGGACCCGCGUCUGAUUAGCUGGUUGGUGGGGUAACGGCCCACCAAGGCGACGAUCAGUAGCCGACCUGAGAGGGUGACCGGCCACAUUGGGACUGAGACACGGCCCAAACUCCUACGGGAGGCAGCAGUGGGGAAUAUUGCACAAUGGGGGAAACCCUGAUGCAGCAACGCCGCGUGAGUGAAGAAGUAUUUCGGUAUGUAAAGCUCUAUCAGCAGGGAAGAAAAUGACGGUACCUGAGUAAGAAGCCCCGGCUAAC
rnacentral:rRNA from 1 species